CCUACGGGGGGCAGCAGUAGGGAAUAUUGCUCAAUGGGGGAAACCCUGAAGCAGCAACGCCGCGUGAAGGAUGAAGGUUUUCGGAUUGUAAACUCCUUUUAGUAGAGAAGAAAAUGACGGUAUCUAACGAAUAAGCACCGGCUAACUCCGUGCCAGCAGCCGCGGUAAUACGGAGGGAGCAAGCGUUAAGCGGAAUCACUGGGCGUAAAGAGAGCGUAGGCGGGAUAGCAAGUCAGAUGUGAAAUCCUAUGGCUUAACCAUAGAACUGCAUUUGAAACUGUUAUUCUAGAGUAUGGGAGAGGUAGGUGGAAUACUUGGUGUAGGGGUAAAAUGCGUAGAGAUUAAGAGGAAUACUCAUUGCGAAGGCGACCUGCUAGAAUAUAACUGACGCUGAUGCGCGAAAGCGUGGGGAGCAAACAGGAUUAGAUACCCGGGUAGUC
rnacentral:rRNA from 1 species